rnacentral:rRNA from 1 species
UAUCUCUGUAGAGUCUGCAUAUCAAUAAGCGGAGGAAAAGAAACUAACAAGGAUUCCCUUAGUAACGGCGAGUGAAGCGGGAAGAGCUCAAAUUUGAAAUCUUCAAGGUUUUACCUUGACGAAUUGUAGUUUAAAGAAGUGUUUUCUGUUGGAGUUUUGGUAAAAGUUCUUUGGAAUAAGACAUCAUGGAGGGUGAGAAUCCCGUAUUUGACCAUUAUUUCCAGCUUUGUGAUACACUUUCAAAGAGUCGGAUUGUUUGGGAAUGCAGUCCAAAAUGGGUGGUAAAUUUCAUCUAAAGCUAAAUAUUGGCGAGAGACCGAUAGCGAACAAGUACCGUGAGGGAAAGAUGAAAAGAACUUUGAAAAGAGAGUUAAACAGUACGUGAAAUUGUCAAAAGGGAAGCGUUUGACACCAGUGUUGUUUCUACGAAAAUCAAUUUAUGAUGGCUUGAUGCUAAGCUUUAAGACUUUAGCCGCUUGUUGUUUAGUUUCUUGUCUUUGUGAAUGCACUUUUCGUGGAACAAGUCAACAUCAAUUUCUUUUGCUGUAAAAGGGUAAGAGGAAGGUGGCUUCGGCUUCGGUUGAAGUGUUUAUAGCCUUUUAUCUCUGCAGUCGGAGAGAUUGAGGUCUGCAGCGUAGACUCUUCGGGGUUAGAUACGUCGGUGCUAAGCUAUAGCUUUUCAUAGACAACUUGUUGACUAUGUUUAGUCAUGUGGCUUACCCGCUGGCGCUAUUUUACCUACGCUUAGGAUGUUGAGUCAUCACACAUCUCU